rnacentral:rRNA from 1 species
AACGGGAAGAGCCCAAACCAACAAGCUUGCUUGUUGGGGUUGUAGGACACUCUAUACGGAGUUACAAAGGACGACAUUAGACGAAUCAUCUGGAAAGAUGAAUCAAAGAAGGUAAUAAUCCUGUAGUCGAAAAUGUUGUCUCUCUUGAGUGGAUCCUGAGUACGACGGAGCACGUGAAAUUCCGUCGGAAUCUGGGAGGACCAUCUCCUAAGGCUAAAUACUCUCUAGUGACCGAUAGUGAACCAGUACCGUGAGGGAAAGGUGAAAAGCACCCCGGAAGGGGAGUGAAAUAGAACCUGAAACCGUGUGCUUACAAGUAGUCAGAGCCCGUUAAUGGGUGAUGGCGUGCCUUUUGUAGAAUGAACCGGCGAGUUACGAUUUGAUGCAAGGUUAAGCAGUAAAUGUGGAGCCGUAGCGAAAGCGAGUCUGAAUAGGGCGUUUAGUAUUUGGUCGUAGACCCGAAACCAGGUGAUCUACCCUUGGUCAGGUUGAAGUUCAGGUAACACUGAAUGGAGGACCGAACCGACUUACGUUGAAAAGUGAGCGGAUGAACUGAGGGUAGCGGAGAAAUUCCAAUCGAACCUGGAGAUAGCUGGUUCUCUCCGAAAUAGCUUUAGGGCUAGCCUCAAGUGAUGAUUAUUGGAGGUAGAGCACUGUUUGGACGAGGGGCCCCUCUCGGGUUACCGAAUUCAGACAAACUCCGAAUGCCAAUUAAUUUAACUUGGGAGUCAGAACAUGGGUGAUAAGGUCCGUGUUCGAAAGGGAAACAGCCCAGACCACCAGCUAAGGUCCCAAAAUAUAUGUUAAGUGGAAAAGGAUGUGGCGUUGCCCAGACAACUAGGAUGUUGGCUUAGAAGCAGCCAUCAUUUAAAGAGUGCGUAAUAGCUCACUAGUCGAGUGACACUGCGCCGAAAAUGUACCGGGGCUAAACAUAUUACCGAAGCUGUGGAUUGUCCUUUGGACAAUGGUAGGAGAGCGUUCUAAGGGCGUUGAAGCAUGAUCGUAAGGACAUGUGGAGCGCUUAGAAGUGAGAAUGCCGGUGUGAGUAGCGAAAGACGGGUGAGAAUCCCGUCCACCGAUUGACUAAGGUUUCCAGAGGAAGGCUCGUCCGCUCUGGGUUAGUCGGGUCCUAAG